UACGUAGGGGGCAAGCGUUGUCCGGAUUUAUUGGGCGUAAAGAGCGUGUAGGCGGUCAGGUAGGUCCGUUGUGAAAACUCGAGGCUCAACCUCGAGACGCCGAUGGAAACCAUCUGACUAGAGUCCGGAAGAGGAGAGUGGAAUUCCUGGUGUAGCGGUGAAAUGCGUAGAUAUCGGGAGGAACACCAGUGGCGAAGGCGACUUCCUGGCCUGUUCUUGACGCUGAGGCGCGAAAGCUAGGGGAGCAAACGGG
rnacentral:rRNA from 1 species